GACGCUGAGCUUGGAGCUUGCUCCGGGUGGAUGAGUGGCGAACGGGUGAGUAACACGUGAGUAACCUGCCCCUGACUCUGGGAUAAGCCUGGGAAACUGGGUCUAAUACUGGAUAUGACUACUGGCCGCAUGGUCUGGUGGUGGAAAGAUUUAUCGGUUGGGGAUGGACUCGCGGCCUAUCAGCUUGUUGGUGAGGUAGUGGCUCACCAAGGCGACGACGGGUAGCCGGCCUGAGAGGGUGACCGGCCACACUGGGACUGAGACACGGCCCAGACUCCUACGGGAGGCAGCAGUGGGGAAUAUUGCACAAUGGGCGCAAGCCUGAUGCAGCGACGCCGCGUGAGGGAUGACGGCCUUCGGGUUGUAAACCUCUUUCAGUUGGGAAGAAGCCUUUCGGGGUGACGGUACCUUCAGAAGAAGCGCCGGCUAACUACGUGCCAGCAGCCGCGGUAAUACGUAGGGCGCGAGCGUUAUCCGGAAUUAUUGGGCGUAAAGAGCUCGUAGGCGGUUUGUCGCGUCUGCCGUGAAAGUCCGGGGCUUAACUCCGGAUCUGCGGUGGGUACGGGCAGACUAGAGUGCAGUAGGGGAGACUGGAACUCCUGGUGUAGCGGUGAAAUGCGCAGAUAUCAGGAAGAACACCGAUGGCGAAGGCAGGUCUCUGGGCUGUAACUGACGCUGAGGAGCGAAAGCAUGGGGAGCGAACAGGAUUAGAUACCCUGGUAGUCCAUGCCGUAAACGUUGGGCACUAGGUGUGGGGGACAUUCCACGUUUUCCGCGCCGUAGCUAACGCAUUAAG
rnacentral:rRNA from 1 species